rnacentral:rRNA from 1 species
GGAAGACGCUCGCAAGAGUGAACUCAAAGGAAUUGACGGGGCCGCACAACCGUUGGAGUANGUGGUUNAAUUCGAUGCNACGCGAAGAACCCUUACCAGGGUUUGACAUGUCACGAAUCUUUUUGAAAAGAAAAGAGUGCCUUCGGGAACGUGAACACAGGUGGUGCAUGGCUGUCGUCAGCUCGCGUCGUGAGAUGUUGGGUUAAGUCCCGCAACGAGCGUAACCCUUGUUUUUAGUUGCCAUCAUUUAGUUGGGCACUUUAAAAAGACUGCCGGUGAUAAAUCGGAGGAAGGUGAGGACGACGUCAAGUCAGCAUGCCCCUUACACCCUGGGCUACACACGUACUACAAUGGUCGAGACAAAGAGCUGCUAACUUGUGAAAGUAUGCUAAUCUCACAAACUCGAUCUCAGUUCAGAUUGCAGGCUGCAACUCGCCUGCAUGAAGUUGGAAUCGCUAGUAAUCGCAGGUCAGCUAUACUGCGGUGAAUCCGUUCCCGGGCCUUGUACACACCGCCCGUCACACCAUGGAAGCUAGUCAUACCCAAAGCCGUUACCCUAACCUUGCGGAGGGGGGCGUUUAAGGUAGGGCUAGUGACUGGGGUGAAGUCGUAAGCAAGGUAACCGUAAAGACUGGAGAUCUG